ACUGGUGUGGCUGUAACAAUUAUGGUAACACUGAGCCAAAAGACUCAAAAAAGAGGUUGAAAUCAGAUCUGCUUCUGCCUGGCCCAGAUUGAUUGAUGUAAACCGGGUUAACCCAUGCUACCAGUAAAGAGAAAAAAAGUUAAGAAAAAGAAAGAAAAUUAUAGAAGGAAAAGAGAUUCAUCCAAUCACUGAUCGAGCUGCAGUGAGAGACACCCCUAAGAGCCAAUAGUAGCGGCGCAUUCAUAAGUCCCGCCCACUGGUCGCGCCGGCGCUGCUUUCAGCGUGAGCAGAUGAGAGAGAGAGAGAGAGAGAGAGAGAGAGAGAGAGAGAGAGUCAGAGCAGAUCAGCACAGAGCAGACAGUUUCUCCAGAAAAUCCACUCAUCUAACUGGAGAUGUGAUUGAGUGCACUGAAAGCGGAGCUUUUGAAGUCGAUGCGUCAGCCUGAAGAGAGAGACGGAGCGGAUCCCAGAGUGCAUCAGCGCUACCCAAAGAAAAAGGACAGUGAUUCCCAAACCACAGAGAAAUGAAUGACUGUUGAGGAGUAUCAAGACACAACCUUGACAGAGACUCAGAAGAGGCUGGAAAAAAUGGAGGAGAACGAAAAAUUGAGAAAUGAUGACAAAAAAAGCUACCAAAUCUGAUAAAUGAAGUGAAGAUGGCCCUGAAGUCUCAGUGUUCGUCAGCAUCAGUCACAUGCCACAGAGUAAUUACAGAGCCCUUCCAACAGAACAGACCCAAAGGAAAAGGACAGUGAUUCCCAAACCACAGAGAAAUAAAUGACUGUUGAGGAGUAUCAAGACACAACCUUGACAGAGACUCAGAAGAGGCUGGAAAAAAUGGAGGAGAACGAAAAAUUGAGAAAUGAUGACAAAAAAAGCUACCAAAUCUGAUAAAUGAAGUGAAGAUGGCCCUGAAGUCUCAGUGUUCGUCAGCAUCAGUCACAUGACAUGGAAAAUGGGACAGGGUUUGCCACAGAGUAAUUACAGAGCUCUCCAACAGAACAGAUCUUCCUUUGUGGAGUUGUGUAUGGACCUUUGAUGUCUAGGCCCUGCUGUUUUGCUUAUGAUUUAUUUAUUUGUGUCACAUAAGUUUUAAGCUGGUUGUUAUAUAUUGAUGUUUGUUUUGAGAUUAUUUAUUUUUGUUAAUUGAACUCUGUUUGUACCAACCGUGCAUAAGAGGAGUUUUUAACCCAUCUUUCCAUCUUUCAGGAGCCAGUCUGUGUGGGAGUGCUUUCUUCUGCAGUCAUCUGGGUCUUUCCUCCACUGCGUGAGGCGUGAGGUUCAGCAUCUGUGUGUGUGUGUGUGUGUGUGUGUGUGUGCUCUUGAGGCUGUGGGUCUUUGUCCUAGUUUCUUCUUCUCUCUUCUUCCCGCAGGCGGUGUUGAACCUGUGAAGCUGGCCCGCCACCCAACGCAAAACGUCGGCAAAAUAGUCUCAAUCGUUCGUUUGUGCUGCUUUGGUUUUUAGAUAUUAAAAGAAUAUUUAUCCAUGGGUUUCAAAGACGUCACUUCCGCAAUUCCCGCCGCCAUCUUUGUGUCGGAGAUGGCAACUAACAGCGCUUCGUUGAUCUGAUGAUCAUCUUUAGCUUCAGCGCGAGCGCUCGGCAACACAAAACAUUAUCUACGAUUGUGGCUGUCAUAUUAAUAACGUUUUAAUUGUAUAUGCUAUUGUAUUAAAAUGUUGUGAAUUCUAGUGUUUCGGCGUGUUAUAGGAAGAACACAUCCACAACAGGAGCUAUUCUGACUACGUCACUAGUUCAGGUUCAUGCGUGCAUGAUUUUGUGCAAAUAUAAGUGUAAUGUUAAGUUUAUGUUGUAUAAAUCUAUGAAUUACCCUAUACAGGAGGUGUGCCGUUGAGUUAACUGACCUUCUUUCAAAGAGCUUCAGUUUACGGGUGUUCAUUCAGCGCGCGUAACGUUAGCUCAAACAGUAAUGUUAUCAAAAUGAGAUGAUUUGAGGAAAAAAAUCUGUUAUUGUUCGUGAUCCUUAUUAUUAAUCAAACCAUGUGUUUAUGAAAAUAAUACGAGAACAAUAUAAGUGCUAGUUAUUAAAAAAUAAUGCAUUCUUUUUUUUGAAACAAUAUGAAAGUUUUACAGUAGUAAACAUUUUCAGUGACUUAAUCAUUGCUGUUUUGAGCUGCGCUCGCUGAAGCUGAAGAGAACCAAAACCCAUAAACUGAAGGUUAAUUAACUCAACGUAACACGUCCUAUAUAAAUGAUAUUUAUACAGAAUAAAAAUUGUUUAUAAAAAUUACUAGUAUUUGCACAAAAUCCCGCACAGAUGAACUUGAGUAACGUAGUCAAUAAUGCUCCUGUUGUGGAUGCAUUCUUCCUGUAACUGCGAAACACAGCAAAUAGGCCCAAAGAAUUCACAACGUUAUAUUACAUGUGUAUAUACGCUUAUAAUAUCAUGUAUAAGAAGACAGUCACGAUCAUAUUAAUGUAUUGCCUUACUUUUUGAGCGCUCGCGCUGAAGCUAUAUGUUGCAGGCCCCGCCUCCGGAGACCCGUCAGACAGAUUACUGUCCCUGUGAAAACAGGAUGAAACAAAAAGACAGAGAGAGUCGCGUCAGCUCCUUCACAGCUCCUCUGUUGGUGUGAGGAAGCAUGCGCAGUUCAUCAGUCCAUUCGCGACUCCCGGGCAAGAAUAUCAAAAUAAGAGUCCUUUUUUUUUCUGUCCAUAUAAACCAAUAUACAUUUGACAGUUUGCACACUGCAUCAAAAAAUAAGGUAAUCACUGAACUUAUAUACAGAUUUCAGAGAAAAAUAAAAUAACACAAUUGUAUCACACUCUCCCUGACAAAAUAAGAAAAGCUCCAGUGAUCAAUCUCCUACCUCCUAUAUGUGCAAUCAACACACAGGCACAGUGAAAUUGUAAGGUAAGUAUGUGUGAGGAGUGUAUGGAUUGGUAUAACUAAUUUGUGGUAAGCAAAUAUUCAUACCCCAAACAGGUAUGUGUGUGAUUGGGUAAGCUGUCACUGCAUUAAGUGUUGGGUAUGGCUGUAGCACAGGCUGACCAAAGGUGUCAUAAGUGUAAAUCUGUCUUGGCCUUUUCUCCCUCGUAGACCUUCUUACUGCAGCUUCACUCCCUUCACUUGGACUUGCUACUCUCUCUGGCUCGACAAAAACAGCUGUUUCCCUCUCCUCAUCCACAUCGUCUUCCACAGGUGGUACCAGGUAAGUAUUUGGUUCUUUUUCUGACAAAUUUUCAGAUACCCUUGAUUCCUCCCUUCUGUGUAUUUGAUUGUGUUCUUCCC